GGGAAGCAGCCGGCGCUGGGCGGGGUUUGCGAGUGCGCGCCCUGCCCUCCCGGUCUGGCGGCCCCGCUUCCUUCCUUUCCUCUCUCGGCCGGCGCUGGUUAAGGGUGCUGCGCACGGGGCUUCCAAGCUAUGCGGCAUGGUAGCGGCCGGCCUGGGCCCGGAGCUGCCGCCCCGUUGGGGGAGAAACUCAGUAUGUGACCCCCGGACGUGGGGUGGAGGGUGAAGGCGAGGCUGGGCUGAGCAGCGGGGUGCAGAGCCCUCCUACGCCGGGCCGGGGAAGAUAGUGAAAAUCUGAAAAGGGCAAGAAAAGCAAGCAUGCAAAAGCAGAAACUUGCUUCUUCCUCUGAGAGGUAUCAUAACUGGUCUGCAGCUUGUGCAUCCAUAAGGGGAACAAUGUAAACCAAGAGUCUCAGGGGAGCAAAGAGCUUUCUGCAAAAUUAAGACUUGACAGUUACAGAUAAAAGCCUUCUCGGUUGGACUGAUUAUUGCAGGAGUGAGGCUAGUGGGGGCAGCAGUAGUUGCCUGAAGAGAAGAGAGGAACUGUUGCUGUUGCUUUAAAGCAGGGGUCGGCAACCUUUCAGAAGUGGUGUGCAGAGUCUUCAUUUAUUCACUUUAAGGUUUCGCGUGCCAGUAAUGCAUUUUAACGUUUUUUAGACGUUCUCUUUCUCUGAGUCUAUAUAUUAUAUAACUAACUAUUGUUGUAUGUGAAGUAAACAUUUUGAAAAACUUG